rnacentral:rRNA from 1 species
GACGAACGCUGGCGGCGUGCUUAACACAUGCAAGUCGAACGGAAAGGCCCUGCUUUUGUGGGGUGCUCGAGUGGCGAACGGGUGAGUAACACGUGAGUAACCUGCCCUUGACUUUGGGAUAACUUCAGGAAACUGGGGCUAAUACCGGAUAGGAGCUCCUGCUGCGUGGUGGGGGUUGGAAAGUUUCGGCGGUUGGGGAUGGACUCGCGGCUUAUCAGCUUGUUGGUGGGGUAGUGGCUUACCAAGGCUGUGACGGGUAGCCGGCCUGAGAGGGUGACCGGCCACAUUGGGACUGAGAUACGGCCCAGAGUCCUACGGGAGGCAGCAGUGGGGAAUAUUGCACAAUGGGCGGAAGCCUGAUGCAGAAACGCCGCGUGCGGGAUGACGGCCUUCGGGUUGUAAACCGCUUUCGCCUGUGACGAAGCGUGAGUGACGGUAAUGGGUAAAGAAGCACCGGCUAACUACGUG